UACGUAGGGUGCAAGCGUUGUCCGGAAUUACUGGGCGUAAAGCGCACGUAGGCGGAUCGAUCAGUCAGGGGUGAAAUCCCAGAGCUCAACUCUGGAACUGCCUUUGAUACUGUCGAUCUGGAGUAUGGAAGAGGUGAGUGGAAUUCCGAGUGUAGAGGUGAAAUUCGUAGAUAUUCGGAGGAACACCAGUGGCGAAGGCGGCUCACUGGUCCAUUACUGACGCUGAGGUGCGAAAGCGUGGGGAGCAAACAGG
rnacentral:rRNA from 1 species